rnacentral:rRNA from 1 species
UACGGAGGAUGCGAGCGUUAUCCGGAUUUAUUGGGUUUAAAGGGUGCGCAGGCGGGAUGUUAAGUCGGCGGUGAAAUUUUGCAGCUCAACUGUAAAAGUGCCUUCGAAACUGGUUUCCUUGAGUGUAGAUGAAGUAGGCGGAAUUUGUGGUGUAGCGGUGAAAUGCAUAGAUAUCACGAGGAACUCCGAUUGCGCAGGCAGCUUACUAAACUACUACUGACGCUCAGGCACGAAGGCGUGGGGAUCAAACAGGAUUAGAUACCCU